GACGAACGCUGGCGGCGUGCUUAACACAUGCAAGUCGAACGGGCCUUGUCCCCUUUUUUUUGGGGGUGGGGUUAGUGGCGAACGGGUGAGUAACACGUGAGUAACCUGCCCCUCACUUCUGGAUAACCGCUUGAAAGGGUGGCUAAUACGGGGUGUUCUGGCCUGCUCGCAUGGGUGGGUUUGGAAAGAUUCGACCGGUUUUGGUUGUUUUGGUGGGGGAUGGGCUCGCGGCCUAUCAGCUUGUUGGUGGGGUGAUGGCCUGCCAAGGCUUUGACGGGUAGCCGGCCUGAGAGGGUGGGCGGUCACACUGGGACUGAGACACGGCCCAGACUCCUACGGGAGGCAGCAGUGGGGAAUAUGGCACAAUGGGCGCAAGCCUGAUGCAGCGACGCCGCGUGAGGGAUGGAGGCCUUCGGGUUGUGAACCUCUUUCGCCAGUGAAGAAGGUCCUGCUCUUUGUGGUGGGGUUGACGGUAGCUGGGUUAAUGAAGCGCCGGCUAACUACGUG
rnacentral:rRNA from 1 species